rnacentral:tRNA from 1 species
GGGCCGUUGGCGCAGUUGGUAGCGCGCAUCGCUGGCAGCGAUGAGGUCACCGGUUCGAACCCGGUACGGUCCA